ACGCUCGACACCUACGGGGGCAGCAGUGGGGAAUAUUGCACAAUGGGGGAAACCCUGAUGCAGCGACGCCGCGUGGAGGAAGAAGGUCUUCGGAUUGUAAACUCCUGUUGUUGGGGAAAAAGAGGAUGGUACCCAACAAGGAAGUGACGGCUAACUACGUGCCGACAGCCGCGGUAAUCUGAGCGGGCGUGGCGAAGGACG
rnacentral:rRNA from 1 species